rnacentral:rRNA from 1 species
CUACGGGCGGCUGCAGUGGGGAAUUUUGCGCAAUGGGCGAAAGCCUGACGCAGCAACGCCGCGUGGAGGAUGAAGGCCUUCGGGUCGUAAACUCCUGUCAGGGGGGACGAAAACCGGGCAACCGGCUUGACUGUACCCCUUGAGGAAGCCACGGCCAACUCCGUGCCAGCAGCCGCGGUAAUACGGAGGUGGCAAGCGUUGUUCGGAAUUAUUGGGCGUAAAGGGCGCGUAGGCGGCUUGGCAAGUCAGGUGUGAAAUCCCUGGGCUCAACCCAGGAAUUGCAUCUGAAACUGCUUUGCUUGAGUCCUGGAGGGGGUAGUGGAAUUCCCAGUGUAGCGGUGAAAUGCGUAGAUAUUGGGAGGAACACCGGCGGCGAAGGCGGCUACCUGGACAGUGACUGACGCUGAGGCGCGAAAGCUAGGGGAGCGAACGGGAUUAGAUACCCGUGUAGUC